rnacentral:rRNA from 1 species
AUACGGAGGAUCCGAGCGUUAUCCGGAUUUAUUGGGUUUAAAGGGAGCGUAGGCGGACGCUUAAGUCAGUUGUGAAAGUUUGCGGCUCGACCGUAAAAUUGCAGUUGAAACUGGCCGUCUUGAGUACAGUAGAGGGGGGUGGAAUUCGGGGGUUAGCGGUGAAAUGCUUAGAUAUCACGAAGAACUCCGAUUGCGAAGGCAGCUCACUAGACUGUUACUGACACUGAUGCUCGAAAGUGUGGGUAUCAAACAGGAUUAGAUACCCUGGUAGUCCACACAGUAAACGAUGAAUACUCGCUGUUUGCGAUAUACAGUAAGCGGCCAAGCGAAAGCAUUAAGUAUUCCACCUGGGGAGUACGCCGGCAACGGUGAAACUCAAAGGAAUCGACGGGG